rnacentral:rRNA from 1 species
UACGUAGGGGGCAAGCGUUGUCCGGAUUCAUUGGGCGUAAAGAGCGUGUAGGCGGCCAGGUAGGUCGGUUGUGAAAACUGGAGGCUCAACCUUCAGGGUACGGACCGAACCGAACUCUGGCUAGAGUCCGGGAGAGGAGAGUGGAAUUCCUGGUGUAGCGGUGAAAUGCGCAGAUAUCAGGAAGAACACCCGUGGCGAAAGCGGCUCUCUGGAACGGUACUGACGCUGAGGAGCGAAAGCAUGGGGAGCGAACAGG